AACGAACGCUGGCGGCGUGCCUAACACAUGCAAGUCGUGCGAGAAAGUCUCCUUCGGGAGGCGAGUAAAGCGGCGCACGGGUGAGUAACACGUGGGUAACCUGCCUUUGAGACUGGGACAACCCAGGGAAACCCGGGCUAAUACCAGAUACGGCCUCGAGAUCUUCGGAUCCUGAGGCGAAAUGAUGGUCUCUGCUUGCAAGCCAUCGCUCGAAGAUGGGCCCGCGGCCCAUUAGCUAGUUGGUGAGGUAACGGCUCACCAAGGCAAUGAUGGGUAGCUGGUCUGAGAGGAUGAUCAGCCACACUGGGACUGAGACACGGCCCAGACUCCUACGGGAGGCAGCAGUGGGGAAUUUUGGGCAAUGGGCGAAAGCCUGACCCAGCAACGCGCGUGCAGGAUGAAGGCCCUCGGGUCGU
rnacentral:rRNA from 1 species